rnacentral:rRNA from 1 species
UAUUGGGCAAUGCCCGCAAGGGUGACCCAGCAACGCCGCGUGGAGGAUGAAUGUCGUAAGAUUGUAAACUCCUGUUAGAGGGGAAGAAUAGUACCGGUUGGACCGGUAUAUGACUGUACCCUCAGAGAAAGCCCCGGCAAACUUCGUGCCAGCAGCCGCGGUAAUACGAAGGGGGCUAGCGUUGUUCGGAAUUACUGGGCGUAAAGCGCACGUAGGCGGUUUUCCAAGUUGGAGGUGAAAUCCCUGGGCUCAACCCGGGAACUGCCUCCAAAACUGGAUGACUCGAGUCCGAGAGAGGUGAGUGGAAUUUCCAGUGUAGAGGUGAAAUUCGUAGAUAUUGGAAAGAACACCAGUGGCGAAGGCGGCUCACUGGCUCGGUACUGACGCUGAGGUGCGACAGCGUGGGGAGCAAACA